CCUACGGGAGGCAGCAGUGGGGAAUAUUGGACAAUGGGCGAAAGCCUGAUCCAGCAAUGCCGCGUGAGUGAUGAAGGCCUUAGGGUUGUAAAGCUCUUUUACCAGGGAUGAUAAUGACAGUACCUGGAGAAUAAGCUCCGGCUAACUCCGUGCCAGCAGCCGCGGUAAUACGGAGGGAGCUAGCGUUGUUCGGAAUUACUGGGCGUAAAGCGUACGUAGGCGGUUAUUCAAGUCAGAGGUGAAAGCCUGGAGCUCAACUCCAGAACUGCCUUUGAAACUAGAUAGCUAGAAUCUUGGAGAGGUGAGUGGAAUUCCGAGUGUAGAGGUGAAAUUCGUAGAUAUUCGGAAGAACACCAGUGGCGAAGGCGACUCACUGGACAAGUAUUGACGCUGAGGUACGAAAGCGUGGGGAGCAAACAGGAUUAGAUACCCUGGUAGUCCACGCCGUAAACGAUGAUAACUAGCUGUUCGGGCUCUACGAGCUUGAGUGGCGCAGCUACGACAUUAAGUUAGUCCGUCCGUCGGGAGGUACGGUCGCGAGAAUUAAACUACAACGAAGUAGUAGACGNGUAGACGAGCGACGACGACGACGACGGAGGAGGAG
rnacentral:rRNA from 1 species